rnacentral:rRNA from 1 species
UACGUAGGGUGCAAGCGUUGUCCGGAAUUAUUGGGCGUAAAGAGCUCGUAGGCGGUCUGUCGCGUCUGCUGUGAAAACUCAGGGCUUAACCCUGAGCUUGCAGUGGGUACGGGCAGACUAGAGUGCGGUAGGGGAGACUGGAAUUCCUGGUGUAGCGGUGAAAUGCGCAGAUAUCAGGAGGAACACCGGUGGCGAAGGCGGGUCUCUGGGCCGUAAGCUGACG